rnacentral:tRNA from 1 species
GGAGAGAUGGCCGAGUGGUCGAAGGCGCACGCCUGGAAAGUGUGUAACCGCCAAAAGCGGUUCGUGGGUUCGAAUCCCACUCUCUCCGCCA